UAUAUGUAUACAGCAAAGUGUAUACUGUGUGAAAAAAAAUCAUUAAAAUUAUUUGCCUUUUCAGUUUCAUUGGAUACCUUUGGCUUGUGACAGAGUGUAGAAUGGAGAUCCCAGCUUGUCCUGAGGAUAUUGAUCCAUUGUGCAGAAGGAAGUUUGGGUCACGAGCUGAGUCCAUUUUCAUUCCCACAGCACAGGGAUGACCUCCCUACAUGAGGCUGCUCUUCACUUGGUGCAGGCUGCUCCAGUGCUCUCCAGAAUGGGAUUUGUCAGGUGAUUUUUGACAUAGUAGGUGUCAGCAGCCUCCAUGUCUUCAGGUCAGUGUUUUUUUCUGCAUCCAAGAGAGAAAUGGGCCAAGUCAUCCAAGGUCAAGGAAUAUCUUGGGAGAUCAACUGCUCAGCAACCCAGAAAAGUAGGAGCUGGAAUGCCUGGAGCACCAAGUUGGUCUUGCAGACCUGGAGAAGCAGAGGAAAGUUAGAUUAUAUUGCAGAUGCUCUGUGUGUGAGAGAGAGAAGGUUUUCAGAUCUCAAUGGCAGGUGAGAGAGAAGGUCCCUAUGAGUGGGAACAGGGGCUAACUGGAGGGCUAAACUUCUGGGGAGCUGCACUCUUCUGUUCCACGAGGAAUUUGACGUCAAUCAGUGAAGCCUUAAUGCAUGGGUGAACCUAUGACAUUUUGCAGAGGGGAGAAGGAGAAUUUUGAAGCCAACUUCAAACUGCAGUUUGUUGCUAAGUGUGCCUGUGUCUUCCAGGAAUGGCCCGAGGCUGAAGGUGCUAUUCUGGCUGCAUUUGAGACUGUCUUCCUUUGAAGUUACUGUUCCCACAGAGGUGCCAGUAAAUCUGCAUGUGUCCUUGCUCCCUAACUUAGCUUGGCUACCCUGUUCCAGAUUAAAAUCUAUUCUGCUAAAAAUGUCUGAACAGGUUCAAUAGACACACAAGCAAGUCUGGAUCAUUUUGACAGG